GCGAGAAAUGUCAUAUUCCUAGCAUCAUUUCAGGUGUACCCUGAUGACCACCUUUAAACUGGAAAUUACGAGGAAAAAAACUCAAAAGGGGGUGUGUCCCAGGGUGUUCGUUGCUUUCUGAGUGGGCUUCCGCUGCUGGCAACCUCGCACACCAUCAUGUGAUGUGGCAAAUGCAAUGCAGCCUUGGUUUGCUUGAGAGAAAACAGCCUCGCAACACAACAGCAGAACGAAUGUACCAGUAAGCGGGAAUACCUUCGGCAUUCAUGAAAUUUUUUUUUUUAAUUAAUCAGUUUUUUUGUCCGAGCCUGCGUGUGGCCUGCUGAAAAACGAAACAAAUGCAUUGCGUUUCGUGGAUGCCGAACUAACCUUUAUCCCCAUGUUUGGCAGCAGGAUGUUUACGUAUGACUCUCCUACUGAUAAAUGAUGUAGGCUUUGUGUGUUUCUUGAUCCUCCUCCUCCUGUUUCCUGACAAUCGUGCACUCUGAGGAAGAAAUUCCGAGAUCUGUAGACCUCCCUCGAACACUUUUUUUACAUACGCAGGCACUUUGUACCAUGGCAUGUAGGCUUUGUCAAGAACAGUGUGUGAAGGAUUUUAUACGUAUUGCUGCCUCUGGCUUUCUGUCAAAGUUCUGUAUAUUGAAAGACCGUGCAGUCACCAUAGUACUUACCCAAAUAUGUAUAAUGCGAUCACAAAUGAGAAGCCGCACCUGCGUACUGAGAUCCCAUGCAUUAACAAAAAUAAUUUAUCAUAAUGUGACCUAAUGACCAUGCAUACACCAGCCUCAGGCACCAGCUUAGAAAAAGCUGAAACUGGCAUGCACAAAUGCCAGUAGAUGGGUGCAUGUAAGUUGUUCAUUGUCUACAGUCUGUCUUUAGGUGCUCCCAACUGCCUGUGAGCAUCAAUGCCCAAUGUGGGCCCUUGCCCUGCUGCUGCUGUUGCACCACUUUGCCCCUAGUUGUGUGGUCAAGUCUACUUGCGAAGUGUUGCGUAAAGUCUAGGGUUGCUUUAUUUUUCCCGUAGCUUCAAUUCCUGGUAGUUGAGCCUGGUGCUUCACAUAAAAACAAAUGUCAUAUUCCUAGCAUCAUUUCAGGUAUACCCUGAAGACCACUUUUAGACUAGAAAUUACGAGGAAAAAAAUUGUGUGGGAAAAGAAUUUGUGCAAAUGUAGUGUGUUGCACCUGUUGCUUAGUAACAGACCAUUUGCUGCUGUACAUUGAUGGCAGGCAGUGAUUUCCUGCCGUUUUUCUGUGACAAGGAAGUUUCUCAUGCCUGCAUUUGAAGGCAAAAACCACUUUGUAUCUUGCAACAGGAUGCCACAGACCAGAUUUUUUAAGGUGCUUGCUGCUUGUCGACAUUGUGGACACUGAGCGAUGGCAUCAGUUUACAGACUAAAUCUGCAGACCAUCAUAGCUGAAUCUUGCAAAUGCAGCAGACUUGGCAAAUUUGCAAGUUACUGCACUUUAUGUUAACUCACUUUGAGUUGUGCUGAUGACACCCUUAGAAGAGGACACUUAAAACCAUGAAAUCAUCUUAGACAAGUACAUAUCCUUUUAACGCUAUGUAUUCUUUCUUUAUUUCUCAUAUAAAGGUUGAUCGUUUAACGGAAAAAAUCAAGGCCAAGCUUUGUUUUUUGUAUCAUAAGUGCCAAAACCACGGCACCGAUGAUGUUACAUCGUGGACUUUGUGGUGUUUCCUUGUUUGGGUUGCCAAAAAACUGCCAAGUUGCGCCUUUACUUGGUACUUUGAAAUGCUGUCCAAAUCUAUGGACAUCAUGGUGAGCUGGUGUAGAGAUUUCAAGGUGGCAUCGCGACUCUUCCAUCGCUUUCUGCCUUACUGAGCCUCUGUUCUUGGCAAGGCUGGCUUACUCAAUCUUCUGGAAGUGUAACUUUGGUGUUAACCAGUCUAGAUUAAUUGUGCCAGCGUUAGGCCCAAAGUGGUUCUUUCAAGAAGUAAUCCUGGCGCAUGUGUUAGAACAGACCCACUUUAUCAUCUCCAUGCUCAAGGUGUGUGGCCGUGGAUUCUGCUGGUGCCAUGAUGUCGGUAGCCCUUGCUACUGUGCUUGGGUACGACGCUAGCGGUCCUGGGUCAGCUGUUGAGGGUAGCCAUAUUGCAGGCGUUUUCAACAUUUUUUGCUUGUGUUCUGUGUUCUCGGUGUAUAAUCUGCCAUACUCUCUGGGAAUUUUUUUUAAUACCACGAGCAGAAGUUGAAAGAAGAAAAAAAAUGGCUUAUCGAUAGGUGAAGAAAGCACUUGCAAUUGUGGUUGCCUCUAUUUAAUGCUCUAGAGACCUGCCAGGAGCUGUGCAGUAGUGGCAGCAUGGCAAUGUGUCGGUCUGUACCCAGCUUCACGCUCAAUGUUGCAGUGGUUGCAUUACGCGAGCACAGCCGGAGCAGGCCAGUCGGGGAGGUCUGUGUUCCCCUCCCCACUCUUCCCCUCCCAACCCCUCUGCUGCGGCAGCCUGAACAUUCCACGCAAAGGUCCCACAGGCUGUCGGAGGUGCAGUGUGUGCAGCUAGAGGCCUCCCGCUGCCUAUCUCAUCUGCCUGCUCGUCUGUCCAUCACGAGGCAGCAUUCAAGGGCCAGGCAAACACACAAGGCUCUCUUAAAAUGCUCUAACUGCAUUUACGAGGCUGUCUUAAUUUAUUUGACGGAUUGUAUGAUGGGGCUGUGUGACAUGGUAAUGAUGAGCAAAGCAUGUGAAUGAGUAACAUUUAUUUUGCUCUGUGUGACUUGAAAGGGUUUGAUGACUCUGAAUAAAAAGUACAAGCCUCUGUGUAA
rnacentral:lncRNA from 1 species